rnacentral:lncRNA from 1 species
AUGACAUAAGGUUUCGUGGAAGAUAGGAAUAGAAUCAUUCUCCAACGUACAAUUUAAAAUGAAUAGAUCUUACACUUAGACACACUACUCGACUAUGCCCCAAAUAAUAAAUAAAAGAAUACUUCAUUAUUUCCUAAUUGAAAUUCCCCCAUAACACACCUAACUACAAGAGUUUGAGUCCCAGUACAUAGUGUUUUUAUGUUGAAGCCUAACUUAGAGUAAACAGGUGCUAACUUGAGCUACAGGACCCUGUUCUCUACAUCACAUUAAGAAUAUUACUUUACCUUAUCACUACCAUCAAACUCACUCAAGUUUUAAAUCAAGGAGUACCAACCACAUAACACAUUGAUUUGCAUUUUCAUCAAUCACAACAUUCGAGCCUAUCGUUACUAUAACC